rnacentral:lncRNA from 1 species
GGGGUUCAUUAUCAUUUUUAAUGGAUAAGGCAUACUUCUGAUUUAUCUAAAAGAAAAUUGGGUUCUGCCCCAGGUAUUAUUUUCAACGAUAAUGUGUUGAAUUAUACCACCAAACUUAACUGUGUGAUAAACUGCAUUGUCAUGGCACUUCAGCAAAGAUGUUUCCAUCCAUGCUAAAAGAUGCAUUUUUAAUUAUGUUGUGAACUGCAUAGUUUUCUAGGGGAAACCUAUUCAAAGUUACUCUAAUCAUCGCACGAUGGUCUUUUUAGUUUGAUGAGCAAAAGGAUCAAGUGGCUGUAGAGCAAAUUCUGCGGGUUAUCUUUCUUGAUGACCUAUUCAAAUUUACUCUCAUCAUCGCAUGGUGUUCUCUUUAGUUUGAUGAGCAAAAGGAUCAAGUAGCUGUAGAGCAAAUUCUGCGGGUUAUCUUUCUCGAUGUGGAACGUCCUAGUCCAGUAAGUAUAGAUUAUUGCCAAGUAGCCAACAUCAUUGCUGUCAUUUCUAUAAAGAAAAAAAAGAAGCAUCCGUUAUUGUGGGGCUGUGGGUGGAAAAUAAGGUAGAGAAAGGCCACUUGUAAGUCUCUGUUCAUUUUGUCAUGUGAAG